rnacentral:rRNA from 1 species
GUUGAACGCUGGCGGCAGGCCUAACACAUGCAAGUCGAGUGGAUGAAGGGUGCUAGCACCUGGAUUCAGCGGCGGACGGGUGGGUAAUGCCUAAGAAUCUGCCUGUUAGUGGGUGAUAUCGCCCCGAGACAGGGGGUCAUAUCGCAUACGUCGCGGGGGCGAAAGAGGGGGAUCUUUGGAAAUCACGCUAUCAGAUGAGACUAGGUCGCGUUUGCUAGUUGGUGAGGUGGAGGCCUACCAAGGCAACGAUACGAACAUGGGCUGCUAGGAUGAGCAGACACACUGGAACUGAGACACGGUCAAGCCGCCUACGGGAGGCAGCAGGGGGGAAGAUUGGACAAUGGGCGAAAGCCUGAUCCACUGAUGCCGCGUGUGUGAAUAAGGUCUUAGGAUUGUAAAGCAGUAUACCUCGGGAGGAAGAGCAGUAAGUUCAUAUCUUGCGGUCUUGACGUUACCAAAAGAGUAAGCACCGGCUAACUACGUG